rnacentral:rRNA from 1 species
CCCUACGGGGCGCAGCAGUGGGGAAUAUUGCCCAAUGGGGGAAACCCUGAUGCAGCAACGCCGCGUGAAGGAAGACGGUUUUCGGAUUGUAAACUUCUGUUCUUAGUGAAGAAGAAUGACGGUAGCUAAGGAGCAAGCCACGGCUAACUACGUGCCAGCAGCCGCGGUAAUACGGAGGGUGCAAGCGUUACUCGGAAUCACUGGGCGUAAAGAGCGCGUAGGCGGGAUAGCAAGUCAGAUGUGAAAUCCUAUGGCUUAACCAUAGAACUGCAUUUGAAACUGUUAUUCUAGAGUAUGGGAGAGGG